AUCUUCCCAGGCCCACCAUUUUGAUCGAGUGCGGAGCAUUCGUCUUCUGGUACGGGGCCAUAGCUCAGCUGGGAGAGCGCGUGCUUUGCAAGCAUGAGGUCGUCGGUUCGAUCCCGUCUGGCUCCACCAGAUGGUUUGAUCACCAACGGCGUUACCGUCGUCCGCGAAACAUCACUUCGCACUCAUUGGUCCGGAUGGACGGUGACGUGCGUGUUUUCUGACAUCGUAAAGAGGAGAUCGAUCCGAGUUUGGAUCAAGCGAAGCAAUUCGCCUGAACCAUUCAUUAUCUCCGGGAUCAUUUCGGCGCUCGCGCAUCGCAGUUCAUCGCAAGAUGAGUGGGGUGAGCGGGUUGUAAAUGAUCUCUUUUAGCGAAGCUUGACCGCCUCGCUAUCGGGCCGAUCUUACGAAGCAAGCUGGUCUUUCUAGUCAAUGUCCGGCUGCGCAAUCGCAUUCAUCGAGGAUGCGUGCCUGGGACUUCGGUCUUCGGGCAGUUGCGCAGACAACAUUCUGCCGAGUGUGUGGACAUUGAUAAUGAGAGCAAUCAAGUGCCUUAAGGGUGUUCGGUGGAUGCCUUGGCGCUGAGAGGCGAUGAAGGACGUGCUACGCUGCGAUAAGCCGUGGGGAGCUGCGAAGAAGCUUUGAUCCGCGGAUUU
rnacentral:misc_RNA from 1 species